GGGGUGGCGAAUCUCGAAAGCCUAUCUCAGUUCGGAUUGGAGGCUGAAACCCGCCUCCAUGAAGUUGGAUUCGCUAGUAAUCGCGCAUCAGCCAUGGCGCGGUGAAUACGUUCCCGGGCCUUGUACACACCGCCCGUCAAGCCAUGGGAGCUGGGGGUGCCUGAAGUUCGUGACCGCAAGGAUCGACCUAGGGCAAAACCGGUGACUGGGGCUAAGUCGUAACAAGGUACC
rnacentral:rRNA from 1 species